GACGAACGCUGGCGGCGUGCUUAACACAUGCAAGUCGAACGAAGAGCGAUGGAAGCUUGCUUCUAUCAAUCUUAGUGGCGAACGGGUGAGUAACGCGUAAUCAACCUGCCCUUCAGAGGGGGACAACAGUUGGAAACGACUGCUAAUACCGCAUACGAUCUAAUCUCGGCAUCGAGGAUAGAUGAAAGGUGGCCUCUACAUGUAAGCUAUCACUGAAGGAGGGGAUUGCGUCUGAUUAGCUAGUUGGGGGGGUAACGGCCCACCAAGGCGAUGAUCAGUAGCCGGUCCGAGAGGAUGAACGGCCACAUUGGGACUGAGACACGGCCCAGACUCCUACGGGAGGCAGCAGUGGGGAAUCUUCCGCAAUGGACGAAAGUCUGACGGAGCAACGCCGCGUGAGUGAUGACGGCCUUCGGGUUGUAAAGCUCUGUUAAUCGGGACGAAAGGCCUUCUUG
rnacentral:rRNA from 1 species